UAACACUUUGACAAUGUAAUAAACAUAAGCAUAUAUGCAGCACAGAAGAUUUGUUUUCUAAGAUAACAUGAAUAUGUACACUUUAUCAGAAUGAAAGAGGAACCUGUUUUACUGCUUUCACACCCCAUUCUCUUCCAUCUUGCAACUCUUGUACAAAUGUUUAGCAUUCCCAUUGCAUCUAUCUGGUUGAAAUCUUAAAUCUAAAGCAUGAAAACAACAUAAUUUGGAGGUCAAGAAGGAGGAGGAGGUUGCCCUGAUAUAAGUCAUUGUGAGAGAGAUUCGAAUCAACAUGAAGCAUACUACCUUUUACUAGAUGAUGCUAACACUGGCCAGAAAAACAGAAAAUGGAGCACCU
rnacentral:misc_RNA from 1 species